CCUACGGGGUGCAGCAGUGGGGAAUAUUGGGCAAUGGAGGCAACUCUUACCCAGCAAUGCCGCGUGAAUGAAGAAGGUCUUCGGAUUGUAAAGUUCUUUAAUUGGGGACGAAAAAAAUGACGGUACCCAAGGAAUAAGCCCCGGCUAACUACGUGCCAGCAGCCGCGGUAAUACCGAGGGGGCAAGCGUUGUUCGGAAUGACUUGGGGUAAAGGGUGUGUGGGCGGUGUAGGAAAUUAGAAGUGGAAUACCUAGGGCUUAACUCAGGGGCUGCUUCUAAAACUGGUAUACUUGAGUGCAGUAGAGGUAAGUGGAAUGUCUAGUGUAGCGGGGGGA
rnacentral:rRNA from 1 species